AACGAACGCUGGCGGCAUGCCUAACACAUGCAAGUCGAACGAAGGCUUCGGCCUUAGUGGCGCACGGGUGCGUAACGCGUGGGGAUCUGCCCUUUGCUUCGGAAUAACAGUUAGAAAUGACUGCUAAUACCGGAUGAUGUCGUAAGACCAAAGAUUUAUCGGCAAAGGAUGAACCCGCGUAGGAUUAGCUAGUUGGUGGGGUAAAGGCCUACCAAGGCGACGAUCCUUAGCUGGUCUGAGAGGAUGAUCAGCCACACUGGGACUGAGACACGGCCCAGACUCCUACGGGAGGCAGCCGUGGGGAAUAUUGGACAAUGGGCGAAAGCCUGAUCCAGCAAUGCCGCGUGAGUGAUGAAGGCCUUAGGGUUGUAAAGCUCUUUUACCCGGGAUGAUAAUGACAGUACCGGGAGAAUAAGCUCCGGCUAACUCCGUGCCAGCAGCCGCCGUAAAAC
rnacentral:rRNA from 1 species